rfam:Rhodopseudomonas palustris CGA009 complete genome.
UGAGCCGCGCGCUUGGGAGAGCGCCUGCGGUUCGCACGAUCCGCCACCGGUCUGGGAGGGCUUGGCGGCGGGUCAUUCAAGGGAGAACCACCGAUGGAGAAUGCUCUUCUCGUCGGACUGUCACGGCAGGUCGUGCUCG